AUUUAUGAAUUUGAUUCCAGGGACGCUUCAUCAUGGGGAACAAGGUGGCACGCACCUUCGCGUUUUUCUACACGCUGAUGCUGCACUGCCUCGUCUUCCUGGCCCUGUACAAGGUCGCUCACACCGAGUCCUGCAAGCGGGACCUGGCCGUGGACUGCCAUGACAAGUUCGCUGAGCACAUGCUGAAGGUUCAUGGAGACAAGGAGUUUCACGUUGGUCACAACCACUGAAUGAAGUAACCAUGGCAACGUAGAGUAGAUACAAGAGACUGCUUCAUCAGAAAACAGACAAGGACAAUUAGGGGCUGAAACAUUCAAAUGUCCAGACUCGUGUCAAAGCUCUUGAUCCGAGACAUCCAGACAUAUGUUCAUGAACCAUAACUUUCUAUCUGUAUUUUUCGACUCAAAAACAUGUAGAGAAAUUGUCUACCUAAAUUUUACCCUUUUAUCAUUGUAUACAACUCAAAAGAAGUUAAAA